rnacentral:rRNA from 1 species
CAUCGAAUCUUUGAACGACAUUGCGCCCGCCAGCACUCUGGCGGGCAUGCCUGUCCGAGCGUCGUUUCCCCCCUCAGGCGCCCCCGCGCGCCUGGCGUUGGGGCUCUGCGCGCCCCCGCGCGCGCAGGCCCUCAAAACCAGUGGCGGGCCGGCCGCGGGCCCCGAGCGCAGUAGACUCUGCCUUCUCGCUCUGGGCGCCCACGGCCGCUGCUCGGCCCCCCCAAGACCCCCCGACGGCUCUGCCGCGGUCGACCUCGGAUCAGGUAAGACUACCCGCUGAACUUAAGCAUAUCAAUAAGCGGAGGAAAAGAAACCAACAGGGAUUGCCUCAGUAACGGCGAGUGAAGCGGCAAAAGCUCAAAUUUGAAAUCUGGCCCCCCCCGCGGGGGUCCGAGUUGUAAUUUGCAAAGGAUGCUUUGGGCGCGGCGCCUUCCGAGUGCCUUGGAACAGGCCGCCUGAGAGGGUGAGAGCCCCGUACGGUUGGACGCCUAGCCCGUGCAAAGCUCCUUCAACGAGUCGAGUAGUUUGGGAAUGCUGCUCAAAAUGGGAGGUAAAUUCCUUCUAAAGCUAAAUACUGGCCAGAGACCGAUAGCGCACAAGUAGAGUGAUCGAAAGGUGAAAAGCACUUUGAAAAGAGAGUCAAAUAGCACGUGAAAUUGUUAAAAGGGAAGCGUCUGCGACCAGACGCGCCGCCCGCGGCUCACCCGCGCCUCGGCGCCGGGGCACGCCGCGGGCGUCGGGCCAGCAUCGGCUCUGCCGUGGUACAAAGACCGCGGGAACGUAGCUCCCUCGUGGAGUGUAUAGCCCGCGGCACCAUGCCCGCGGCGGGGCCGAGGA